GCGAGAGUGGCGGAACUGGUAGACGCGCACGUUUGAGGGGCGUGUGUCUUGCACAUACGGGUUCAAGUCCCGUUUCUCGCACCA
rnacentral:tRNA from 1 species